UGGUGUUUUAAAGAGCCAUCUCGCGGAUCCAAGCGGUCGGGUCACGGGUAAUUAGUUCUCGGGUCACUGUUUGAGGGACAAACGGAUCCUCACUUUUCACUUCCAUUCUGUUCCAAACACACAGAGAAGAGAGAGAGAGGCGACGAAGACGAAGCAGACGAAGAACAACGAAGAAGAUCGAUGAAGGGCUGGACACAAGAAGGAGAACAAAGAAUGAAAUUGACCACAUUACGGCUCUAAUUUGAUGAACGAACCACACCAACCAAGGUACUGGAAUUGGCUGAAAACCUUCGAGGGACAACAAGAAGACUAGUACCGUGCCGUGACACAUUCACCUCGUGGUGAGGAAUGAUGAAGAAUUGAGCAAGCUACUGGGAGAUGUGACAAUUGUGAAUGGUGAUGUGAUUCCGAAUAUUCACAAUGUCUUGCUUCCAAAGAAGGCCGGCGGCUCGUCUAAGCCUCUACUGAUGAGGAUUUACAUUUUUGAAUUAGGGUGUUUUUACUGUUUAGUUUACUGGAGUUUAGCACUGUUGUUUUAGUUGGCAGAACGCAUGUUAGCCUUGCACUUAUUGGACAUCUUGGAGACAAAAUGCUCUGCUCUGAUUUUGAUAUGAUGGAGAUUAAGGAGAUAACUUAUGCUGCUAUGGUGUUGAGCUGAUGAUGCUAAGGACCUGUUCUCUACUUGUUUA